GAUGAACGCUGGCGGCGUGCCUAAUACAUGCAAGUCGAGCGAAUGGAUUAAGAGCUUGCUCUUAUGAAGUUAGCGGCGGACGGGUGAGUAACACGUGGGUAACCUGCCCAUAAGACUGGGAUAACUCCGGGAAACCGGGGCUAAUACCGGAUAACAUUUUGAACCGCAUGGUUCGAAAUUGAAAGGCGGCUGCGGCUGUCACUUAUGGAUGGACCCGCGUCGCAUUAGCUAGUUGGUGAGGUAACGGCUUACCAAGGCAACGAUGCGUAGCCGACCUGAGAGGGUGAUCGGCCACACUGGGACUGAGACACGGCCCAGACUCCUACGGGAGGCAGCAGUAGGGAAUCUUCCGCAAUGGACGAAAGUCUGACGGGGCAACGCCGCGUGAGUGAUGAAGGCUUUCGGGUCGUAAAACUCUGUUGUUAGGGAAGAACAAGUGCUAGUUGAAUAAGCUGGCACCUUGACGGUACCUAACCAGAAAGCCACGGCUAACUACGUGCCAGCAGCCGCUGUAA
rnacentral:rRNA from 1 species